rnacentral:misc_RNA from 1 species
UACGUAGGUGGCAAGCGUUGUUCGGAUUUAUUGGGCGUAAAGGGCGCGCAGGCGGCUUCUUAAGUCUGAUGUGAAAGCCCCCGGCGUAACCGGGGAGGGCCAUUGGAAACUGGGAGGCUUGAGUAUAGGAGAGAAGAGUGGAAUUCCACGUGUAGCGGUGAAAUGCGUAGAGAUGUGGAGGAACACCAGUGGCGAAGGCGACUCUUUGGCCUAUAACUGACGCUGAGGCGCGAAAACGUGGGGAGCAAGCAGG